AAUUUGGACCAUCAUUGUUAGAGUGGGACAGUGGGUUAAAGAUGCUGUUUUCAUGGAGAAGGUCCCUGUGAUACAGACGAUUCAACGCCUGCUAUUGUACGCAACGGAAAAUUUACUAUAUACUAUUUGCGGGUUCACUGUUCUGCCGAGCCGGUUAUGGGUCAAAAGACCUGUGUAUCGUUUCAAAGCUUUCGUGUCUUUGUUCUUCGCGUCACACAAUUUGUGUUUCUCUUGCUUUGACAUCUGGGCUGCUGCUCAGUGCUGUCGUGUCUAUGAUAGCUCACUCGACCGAGAGGUAGAUAGACAGAGAGCUUCAGUUUGAGAGAGAAAUAGCGCGAGAGAAAGAGAGAGAGCUCCAGACUGUGUUCUAUCUAUCUAGGGACAGAGAGACAGUUUGAGACUGAAGAAGAGGGAGACGGGAAGAAGUUGAUGGUCGAUUUGAACAGAAAUUGAGUGAACUGAUCAUCCCAGGUGUGGCGUGAAACAUCCAAUUCCAGAGUUAUUGUUCAUGCAUGGAGACAUGGAUUGCUUCUACAUUCAAGGGGUUUCUGGGUUAUUGGCUUAACCUUCAGGUGGAGGUGUGUUGAGACAGGCAGGAGAGCUGCUGUUUCUGGUGUUUGAGGUUUCACAUGCUACUAUAAUUGUUGCUGCAAUUGAUUUAUUUGUUGUAAGAAAUCGGUCUGCAAGGUGUGAAGAAAAGGAGAAGCUUGAAUCUGUAAAUCAAGGAAAAUUUGGGUAUAGCAAGAAGGAAGAUCUGGAAUUACCAUUGUUUUUUAUUUGUCUGCUUAUUCGUCAGAAACCAAACACAAUUAGAUAUCGGGAACAGCAAGCUAUCAAAGUUUACAAGUAUUUUGAAUUCAGGAAAAUUUGGGUACAGCAAGAAGGAAACUGGGAAAAGAGAUGAAAUAGGCAAUUGUUUUGAGCAGGAGAUGAAUGACAACCAAAAAGAUGAAGUCAUUUGCGAGGGAAGCAAACACAUGAAGUGGUCUGCCAGUGAUAUGUUACAGGCUUCAUGUCACCAUUGAAGAUCCAAACAGUGAAGCCACAAUAAAACUUAGAGGAAAACAAGCUGAACAGUUAUUCGGAAUAACUUGCAAAGAACUCUUGAACAAGUGCCCCUAUGCACCACAAGAAACAUUGCCACCAGAGAUAUUACAAACACGGGCAGAUCCAUGUUUUCCAAAUUCAAAUCACUGAGACAAAUCUUUCCAAACACAGAUCAUCAACCAGGUACCAGCACACCAGCUCAUCCACUGUAUGAAAAAAAAAUCGGUUGAUAGAAGCAAGAAACAAUUGUUUGCUACCAAUCAAGAGAAAAAACCCCGCUGUGAUACACAGACAAGCACUGAAUCAGCAGCCUCAACACCAGACACUCUGAACAAAGAAAAAAUUGAUUGAAGUGUCAUGUCGCUUUUCAUGUAAAUACAGACGGAGGAAACACCUUUUUGAACAACCUCCACAACUACUUACCACCUUUUUGGCUAGGCUAACAACUCUUCAACAACUGCUGUCACUUUUGGUAUAAAUGUAACUGGAGGAAGCACCAUUUUGAAGAACCUCCCGCUAGGUUAGCCUAUAAGUAGAACAGUAUAUUUUUGACAAGUUGUGUCAACCACAGUUGUAUUGUAUAUUUGCACAUUAUCAAAACAUUCAUAUUGAUGAUAAUGUUAGUUGAAAACAUAAAUCUCUAGCCAUCCAAACUUGCAAAUUUUGUUUCAACACCCGCAGCAACGCGUGGGCACCCAGUAAUGAAUUAUAGUACACGUGGUGAUUUAGGUUGAUGUUAUUGGCUCAUAUAACUUGUAAUUAUUUUUUAUUUGUUGAAUGAUA